rnacentral:rRNA from 1 species
UACAGGGGGUGCAAACGUUGCUCGGAAUUAUUGGGCGUAAAGCGCGCGUAGGCGGCUACCUAAGUCGGAUGUGAAAGCCCCUGGCUCAACUGGGGAAGUGCACCCGAAACUGAGUAGCUAGAGUGCAAAAGAGGGUCGCGGAAUUCCCGGUGUAGAGGUGAAAUUCGUAGAUAUUGGGAAGAACACCGGUGGCGAAGGCGGCUAUCUGGACCGACAUUGACGCUGAGGCGCGAAAGCGUGGGGAGCAAACAGG